AUUGAACGCUGGCGGCAGGCCUAACACAUGCAAGUCGAGCGAGUGGCGGACGGGUGAGUAAUGUAUGGGGAACUGCCCGAUGGAGGGGGAUAACUACUGGAAACGGUGGCUAAUACCGCAUACUAUCGGAUGAACCCAUAUGGGAUUAGCUAGUGGGUGGGGUAACGGUUCACCUAGGCGACGAUCUCUAGCUGGUCUGAGAGGAUGAUCAGCCACCCUGGGACUGAGCCACGGUCCAGACUCCUACGGGAGGCAUCAGUGGGGAGUAUUGCCCAAUGGGCGCAAGCCGUAUGCAGCCAUGCCGCGUGUAUGAAGAAGGCUUUAGGGUUUUAAAGUACUUUCAGCGGGGAGGCGUUACCCGCAGAAGAAGCACCGGCUAACUCCGUGCCAGCAGCCGCGGUAAUUC
rnacentral:rRNA from 1 species